rnacentral:rRNA from 1 species
AUUGAACGCUGGCGGCAGGCCUAACACAUGCAAGUCGAGCGGCAGCGGAAGGAAGCUUGCUUUCUUGCCGGCGAGCGGCGGACGGGUGAGUAAGGUAUGGGGAUCUGGCCGAAGGCGGGGGAUAACCACUGGAAACGGUGGCUAAUACCGCAUAAUCUCUAAGGAGCAAAGUGGGGGACCGUUCAGGCCUCACACCUUCGGAUGAACCCAUAUGAGAUUAGCUAGUAGGUGGGGUAAUGGCUCACCUAGGGGACGAUCUCUAGCUGGUCUGAGAGGAUGAUCAGCCACACUGGGACUGAGACACGGCCCAGACUCCUACGGGAGGCAGCAGUGGGGAAUAUUGCACAAUGGGCGAAAGCCUGAUGCAGCCAUGCCGCGUGUAUGAAGAAGGCCUUCGGGUUGUAAAGUACUUUCAGUCGUGAGGAAGGUGUUAAGGUUAAUAACCUUAGCAAUUGACGUUAGCGACAGAAGAAGCACCGGCUAACUCCGUGCCAGCCGCCGCCGUAA